CUACGCACUCCUACGGGAGGCAGCAGUGGGAAUAUUGCACAAUGGGCGCAAGCCUGAUGCAGCCAUGCCGCGUGUAUGAAGAAGGCCUUCGGGUUGUAAAGUACUUUCAGCAGUGAGGAAGGUGGGUAUGUUAAUAGCAUACUCAUUUGACGUUAGCUGCAGAAGAAGCACCGGCUAACUCCGUGCCAGCAGCCGCGGUAAUACGGAGGGUGCGAGCGUUAAUCGGAAUUACUGGGCGUAAAGCGCAUGCAGGUGGUUUGUUAAGUCAGAUGUGAAAGCCCGGGGCUCAACCUCGGAAUUGCAUUUGAAACUGGCAAACUAGAGUACUGUAGAGGGGGUAGAAUUUCAGGUGUAGCGGUGAAAUGCGUAGAGAUCUGAAGGAAUACCGGUGGCGAAGGCGGCCCCCUGGACAGAUACUGACACUCAGAUGCGAAAGCGUGGGGAGCAAACAGGAUUAGAUACCCUGGUAG
rnacentral:rRNA from 1 species